ensembl:lncRNA
CGCAAAAGCGCACGACAAACGGAGUUAUUGAAUCCUGAAAGAAGGAGCCGAUUCUGAACAGCUGAAACGAAUUCGUUAGUAAUUCCAGACUUACUUCCUGUACUAACCUACGUAGGUUUGUAACAAACAAACAAAAAAAAUCCUGCCUGUCACUGACAACAGACUGGGACAUCUGACCAAUCCGAGCAGAGUAUGCUCUCUGGAACGAGUCGUUCAGAACCAGUCGUUCAGAACCAGUCGUUCAGAACCAGUCGUUCAGAACCAGUCGUUCAGAACCAGUCGUUCAGAUCGUUUGUGACACUGGGGGGGGUUAAAUUAUGAGCACGAUAAAGUGCUUUUUGACCUCGGAUGCACGUAAAUCUAUUAUGAGAGCUUUAAAAGAAGAUUAGGCACAUUUCAGAACCAUAGUAAGUGCACUUUAAUGAAUCCGUACGUUUUAGACGACGAUGUUGACGGCCGCACGAUUACGUUAAACUGUAUCGUGUGUGUGUGUUUUUUUUGUUUUGUUUUGUUUUGUUUUUUUUUUACAUUUAUUUUUAUAAGAUUAAUCCUGCACUUUGAAGACGUUAAGAAGAGUCAAUGAUGCGAAUUAUUACCCAGAAACAUCACCAGAUAACUUCUUAACUACAUUUUACCACCGCCGCCAUUUCAGACGUUUCUAAUCUUCCAGAACGCGUCUUUUAAAAGGACUAGCGACGCAUCCAUCCAGGGGUUUUAGUUUACGUUACUACAUUUACCUUGCGUACGUUCUAUGAUCAUGUGACGUACCGAUAAUCAAGCCAUACUCUCUCUCUCUCUGGAGCUUUGUAUGUUCUUCCUGUUUGUGGGGUUUCCUGAAGGUUCGACAGCUUCCUCUCGAAAGCACGCCAGAAGGUGGAUCGAUCACGCUAAUUGAUCGUAUUUACAAAUUGAGCAGAGUGGAAGUACCUCAUUAUCUGAAUAAACAAACAAAUCCCAGCUUUCUCGUACAGUUCUCAAACAUCGAAAGGCGGUGGAAUGAUCCGGAACGACCGGGGGGGGGUGAAGCGCAUCAUCAUGUAGAAGCAAAUAGAAACAGCGGUGACGCCGUUUUGUACCGGAACCCGGAAGUUAUCAUCACACCGGUUCCCUCGACAGAAACCCAAUAGGAUUUUCAAAUCAUCUUCACAACUUGUAUGAAGUUUGAAGCCUAAAUCCAAUCUCCAGAACAUCUAAACCGUACGCUAUAAACGAGCUACACCACGGUCGCUCGACUUCAACGUCUCCAUCACCGAGCUUCCGAGAACUUUCCCAAACUUUAUUUAAAACAUUUUCCAUAAUACGGAUUUACUCUGUGGAUGAAUCUUCCCCCGUGUGUUUUGGGGAAUUGUGCACAGCAGACCUGAACCAGUUUAUCUGCGAAGUGUUUUCCUGCUCGGCGUGAUGACGUUUAAUGUCCCCGAUAGCCUCUGCGGUCCCGUUUAGCAACAUGUCAGUGUCACGAUUUCCCCUCGCGCACGCGCUGGAGCACAAGCAAAGCAAACCUCGUUUCCGGGUUUUAGCGUUACAGAAUGACGUCAUCCCUGCGCCGCUCUAUGGUGACUGGCUGUACGUUUAAGUAGCGCUUGAUUUGAUGUGCAGCGGAGUUUUCUAUGAGCAGAGGAUGAACUUUAAACGUCAAUAUCGCAGUGGAUCAUUUCCACGUAAUCCUGGGCAGUCAAAACCCCUAGUGAGGAUGCAUGUUAAGGAAACGAAUAGGUGCGCGGUGGUGUAGCACGUCACAGCUCCGGUGUCGCCGGUUCAGUCCUGAGCUCGGAAUAGUGUGUGUGUGUGUGUUUCCCCCACUUACGUCCAUGUGGGUUUGCUCUGGGUUCCUCUGUUCUCCCAAAAACACGCCAGGAAAGUGGAUUCGUGGGGUAGGCUCUGGAGCCGCCACACCCCAGGUCUUGACUGAGUGAGUGACUGAGUGAGUCGAGUGAGUCGAUCGAGUGAGUGAGUGAGUGAGUGAGUCGAGUGAGUGAGUGAGUCGAUGACUGAGUGAGUGAGUGACUGAGUGAGUCUGUGACUGAGUGAGUCUGUGACUGAGUGAGUGACUGAGUGAGUGAGUGACUGAGUGAGUGAGUGACUGACUGAGUGAGUGACUGAGUGAGUGACUGAGUGAGUCGAGUGAGUGACUGAGUGAGUGACUGAGUGAGUGACUGAGUGAGUGACUGAGUGAGUGACUGAGUGAGUCACUGAGUCAGUGAGUGAACGCGGACUUCAGGUGUUUUGUAAGUACGUUAAUCUCUUGGCUUAGAAACAAAUGUCGGACACCAGGCUCGUCUUAUUUACUCCAUUUGUUCCUCCACAUAUACUGAGGGCGAUGUCUUUUGCAGACCCCUGUGCGAAUAGUGAUCGGACUGCCACUAUUCCUGUAUUUGUACUGUUCAUUUUCUACACGAUCAGUCGAGAAGCAGGGCGGUGUCUUUUUAUUUUAUGUUUUUUUUUUUUUUUUUUUUUUAGUCCUUUCAGAGUAGAAUUAAUCGUUUGUAAACCCGUUCGCCUUCCCCCUGAGCAAGUCAAGUCCGAACCUGAGCGCUGUCGGUGAGCGAGCGAAGACGAGUCAGGACGCGUGGAUGCGUUCGACUCGUCAGACUCGACGGUCCUCGACCGUGCCCGAGGGGAAGCCGGUGAAUUCGGUAACUCGGGCUAAAACAUGCACGUCUCUCUGGCAGCGACGGAGAGCCUUUCGCAAACCCGUACAUCUCGCGUCCUGUCCCACUCGCAGCGUGAGGUGUGUCGAGAGCGAGGCUCGCGGUGAGUCGUCUCGGAGCCCUGCGGUUCAUAACGGCUCUGCUUCCACGUGGAGAUUAAUACUGUAUCCGUGUGCCGUAAAACCGUGCGCAAACAUCACGCUCGUAAAAACCCAGACCGCACAAUGAAGCCCUGGCUGUUCUAGAUGGAUCUGUCAUAAAGUUUUAAACACACACACACACACACAUGCACAAGAGGCCAAGGGAAGGGAGUGUUUCUUUCUUUCUUUCUUUCUUUUAAUUGUGAA